GGAGGGACUGGGGCUGAGGCGGUCCCACGCGCCUGUGUGCGGAGGAGCCGCGGGUACCGCCGCGUAACGGUCGUUGAGCGACGGUGGCAACGGAAGGCGGUUAAAAACCGUCGCCCUGCAGGGAAGGGAAGGGGGAAUCCGAGUCCCGGAUUGCUCCCCGGUGAGCGCUGGGCGGAAGAAGACUAGCCUGCUCAGCUGCUCUCCCCUUAAGGAGCAGUUCCCCACCUCCGAUCAUCUUGUUCUUUGCAACAUUUUUCAGUUGUAACGUAUCAUUCUGGGGAUGAGGAGACUGGAACUACGUGCAUUAUUCAAGGAAAACAAGCAAUCAGGAACAGUCCAAACUCACUGUUGCCAUGUCAAUAGAUGCUGUGGCUUCAUCCAUGAUGAAGAUGCUCGUCUUCCGCACAAAAGCCCUUGCUAGGCAGAACAGCUGUCUUUGCCCCUGGCUGAAGUUUUCACCCCCUUCUGUGACUAUAGCAUCUGGAAAUGAUAUAACAAAAUCAGUAUUUAGGUGCUCUGUGUGUGUGUAUACAAGAGGGUCAGAUCAGAGUACAGCAUAUGCUUGGGAAAUAAUGUCUCACUUUCAGCGUAAAGAUUCUCAAAGUAACAUAUUCUAGGUCUGUAGCUCCUGGUGACCCCAUUUUGCUUGUUUAUUUACAUUGCUCAGAAGAACUAGUACUGUCUCACUACUAUUCCUGUCUCACUAUAUUCUUUACAUCUAUUAGACAUCAAAGUAACUAUGAAUGUUUAGGAGUGAGUUUCUCUGGAAUAUGUGCAGUUUAGGGUACUGUUACUGCAUCCCCCUGUCAAAGUAACAUUCAUAAUUUCUUUACCCAAAGAUUGUAUAACUUGCCAUUUUUAAGGUUUUUCUUUGUUUA